AUUUUUAAACCUCCAACGCCUAUCACAUUCAAGUCAUCACAAGAGCUUUGCUAAACCAGAACAAAAUGAGUGAAAGUGAGUUAAAGUAUCUGUAUUCCUGCUGCUUAAAUAAGGGUUUUGCCUCAUAACUUGGUCUACAUACGUGACACCUCUGGUUAUGGCACAAUAAGAGCACAAAAUAAGGUCGAGGGGGGUUGUAAAGAAAAGUUCUGCAGAUCAAGAAAAAUAUCUCUAGUGUGUUCUACAUAGUUUCACGUUCCCCUGGGGAGAAAGGAAUGCCUUUGAAGAGCUGAGGCGACGCGGGCUUGCAUAGACCAUCUUGCUCAUUUCUUCCAAUACUACGGUUCAAUGAGAAGUCAGAACUCAACAUCCCGCAUUGCUGGUAUCUCCAUUUGUCAGCACGAAAACAGCAGUGAGAAUUAAGUUUCUUGAUAGUAGGAACGUUUUCCCUCGUGAGAGGCUUGCAGCUACUCACGCUCACGGUGGGAGUGGAGGGGUUGUUUUCCAAAAGGGAAAACGCGGAGCACUCAGGUUAGCUGGUCCUCGGCCACUCAACAGCGAGGCUGCCAGACCAGGGUGACCAUCUGCCUCCCCAUCCACUAGUCCUUCACGAGGACGUGCCGAAAGCAAGAAUUUAGCGAAGAAACGUAAACGUUGGUAUUCAGAAAAUGGGCACGAUAACCAAACUUUUAAGAGUGGUACAUCUACUUCCGGAAUUCUCUGAGAAUUGACCUCCAAGGCAAGCGCAGCCUAGGCGGGCUCCUGCCCAAGCAAGGUCCUCGGGGGAAAGGGACAAAAUAGGGAAGACGGGGGGUGGACAGCGCAGCCCCUGGGAAAACCUCCCCGGCUGGCUCCCCUUGCAGCCGGCAGACCGAGCGCACCGACCGGGCGCGUCCCACGCCUGAGCCCACGCCCCCUGCCCAUCCCUUCCCUCCCGAGGCACUUACCUGUGGUGCCCGCGGGUGACGGGGUCCUGAAGGCGGCCGUCUCGGCCCAUCCCGAGUGCGGCGAGGGCCGACUCCAGGGUCUGGGGGUCCCGUGCAGCAGACCCACACGACAAGGAUCUCCCGUGUGUCUCAACUGCCGAACCGAGCCCUGAAUAAUAAUCGUAUUUACGUCGUGGAGCUAACCAGCGAGUUCGGUGUUUUAGAUAAGCAAGCCAAGAUGCGGAAGCGACAAGGAGCAGAGCUGAUGAGUACCGCCUUCAGACCUGGUUGCUGCAGCCUUGCCAGGAAACUAGUCUUCGCCAAGUGCCAGCUGGAGUGCACAGGGGCCGGUGGAGGGGCCUGGAGCCUGGACCAUGGGAGAUCCACUGUACACACAGGAGCGGGCAGCCCGGAAUCACCCCUCCCCUAGGAAUUAACACAGUGACAGAAGACUAUGGACUGAUUCAUGCUCCUUACAUUUUAUUGUUAUAUUUUCCAAUGUAGCAGAAAGUAUAUGUAUACUGGUGUGUUUUAAUUCUAAUUAAAAUGUUUUAAACAUUC